GAUGAACGCUGGCGGCGUGCCUAAUACAUGCAAGUCGAGCGAACGGACGAGAAGCUUGCUUCUCUGAUGUUAGCGGCGGACGGGUGAGUAACACGUGGAUAACCUACCUAUAAGACUGGGAUAACUUCGGGAAACCGGAGCUAAUACCGGAUGAUAUUUUGAACCGCAUGGUUCAAAAGUGAAAGACGGUCUUGCUGUCACUUAUAGAUGGAUCCGCGCUGCAUUAGCUAGUUGGUAAGGUAACGGCUUACCAAGGCAACGAUGCAUAGCCGACCUGAGAGGGUGAUCGGCCACACUGGAACUGAGACGCGGUCCUGACUCCUACGGGAGGCAGCAGUAGCGAAUCUGCCGCAAUGGGCGAAAGCCUGACGGAGCAACGCCGCGUGAGUGAUGAAGGUCUUGGGAUCGUAAAACUCGGUUAUUAGGGAAGAACAUAUGUGUAAGUAACUGUGCACAUCUUGACGGUACCUAAUCAGAAAGCCACGGCUAACUACGUG
rnacentral:rRNA from 1 species